rnacentral:rRNA from 1 species
GACGAACGCUGGCGGCGUGCUUAACACAUGCAAGUCGAGCGGUAAGGCCCCUUCGGGGGUACACGAGCGGCGAACGGGUGAGUAACACGUGAGCAAUCUGCCCUUCACACGGGGAUAACCACCGGAAACGGUGGCUAAUACCCGAUACGACCACCGGCCGCAUGGCCUGGUGGUGGAAAGUUCCGGCGGUGAAGGAUGAGCUCGCGGCCUAUCAGCUUGUUGGUGGGGUAAUGGCCUACCAAGGCAACGACGGGUAGCCGGCCUGAGAGGGUGACCGGCCACACUGGGACUGAGACACGGCCCAGACUCCUACGGGAGGCAGCAGUGGGGAAUAUUGGACAAUGGGCGCAAGCCUGAUCCAGCCAUGCCGCGUGAGUGAUGAAGGCCUUCGGGUUGUAAAGCUCUUUCGCACACGACGAUGAUGACGGUAGUGUGAGAAGAAGCCCCGGCUAACUUCGUGCCAGCCGCCGCAGUAACAC